rnacentral:tRNA from 1 species
CAUUAAAAAGCUUCAGGUAAGUUUUGAUCUCUUAAAUCAAUUAUAAUAAGGUUACAUUUAUUUUUAAUGA